GGGGGGGCAAGCGUUUGUUCGGAUUUACUGGGCGUAAAGGGCUCGUAGGCGGCCACCUAAGUCGGUUGUGAAAUCCCUCGGCUCAACCGGGGAACUGCGACCGAUACUGGGUGGCUUGAAGCCGGGAGAGGGAUGCGGAAUUCCAGGUGUAGCGGUGAAAUGCGUAGAUAUCUGGAGGAACACCCGUGGCGAAGGCGGCAUCCUGGACCGGUCUUGACGCUGAGGAGCGAAAGCUAGGGUAGCAAACGGGAUUAGAUACCCCGGUAGUCCUAGCCCUAAACGAUGAAUGCUUGGUGUGGCGGGUAUCGAUCCCCUGCCGUGCCGUAGCUAACGCGUUAAGCAUUCCGCCUGGGGAGUACGGUCGCAAGGCUG
rnacentral:rRNA from 1 species